rnacentral:rRNA from 1 species
GAUCAUGGCUCAGAUUGAACGCUGGCGGCAGGCCUAACACAUGCAAGUCGAGCGGUAGCACAGAGAGCUUGCUCUCGGGUGACGAGCGGCGGACGGGUGAGUAAUGUCUGGGAAACUGCCUGAUGGAGGGGGAUAACUACUGGAAACGGUAGCUAAUACCGCAUAAUGUCGCAAGACCAAAGUGGGGGACCUUCGGGCCUCAUGCCAUCAGAUGUGCCCAGAUGGGA